rnacentral:rRNA from 1 species
AGUGAACGCUGGCGGUAGGCCUAACACAUGCAAGUCGAACGGCAGCACGGUAAGAGCUUGCUCUUACGGGUGGCGAGUGGCGGACGGGUGAGGAAUACAUAGGCAUCUACUUUUUCGUGGGGAAUUACGUAGGGCAGCUUACGCUAAUACCGCAUACGACCUACGGGUGAAAGCAGGGGAUCUUCGGGCCUUGCGCGAUUGAAUUAGCCGAUGCCGGAUUAGCUAGUUGGGGGGGUAAAGGCCCACCAAGGCGACGAUCCGUAGCGGGUCUGAGAGGAUGAUCAGCCACACUGGAACUGAGACACGGUCCAGACUCCUACGGGAGGCAGCAGUGGGGAAUAUUGGACAAUGGGCGCAAGCCUGAUCCAGCCAUACCGCGUGGGUGAAGAAGGUCUUCGGGUUGUAAAGCCCUGUUGUUGGGAAAGAAAAGCAGUAUGUUAAUACCCCGCUGUCCUGACGGUACCCAAAGAAUAAGCACCGGCUAACUUCGUG